GACGAACGCUGGCGGCGUGCUUAACACAUGCAAGUCGAACGGAAAGGCCCUGCUUUUGUGGUGUGCUCGCUUGGCGAACAGGUGAGUAACACGUGAGUAACCUGCCCUUGACUUUGGGAUAACUUCUUGAAACUGGGGCUAAUAACGGAUAGAAGCUCCUGCUGCACGUUGGGUGUUGGGGAGUUUCGGCGGUUGGGGCUGGUGUCGGGGCUUAUCAGCUUGUUGGUGGGGUAGUGACUGACCACGGCUGUGCGGGGUAGCCGUCCUGAGAGGGUGACCGGCGACAUUGGGACUGAGAGACGGAGCAGUCGGCUACGGGAGGCAGCAGUGGGGAGUAUUGCACAAUGGGGGGAAGCCUGAUGCGGCAGCGCCGCGUGCGGGAUGACGGGCUGUGAGUUGUGAACCGCUGUCGCAUGUGACGAAGCGGGAGUGACGGUAAUGGGUAAAGAAGCACCGGCUAACUACGUG
rnacentral:rRNA from 1 species